AGACCCGAAACCCGGUGAUCUAGCCAUGGGCAGGUUGAAGGUUGGGUAACACUAACUGGAGGACCGAACCGACUAAUGUUGAAAAAUUAGCGGAUGACCUGUGGCUGGGGGUGAAAGGCCAAUCAAACCGGGAGAUAGCUGGUUCUCCCCGAAAGCUAUUUAGGUAGCGCCUCGUGAAUUCAUCUCCGGGGGUAGAGCACUGUUUCGGCUAGGGGGCCAUCCCGGCUUACCAACCCGAUGCAAACUGCGAAUACCGGAGAAUGUUAUCACGGGAGACACACGGCGGGUGCUAACGUCCGUCGUGAAGAGGGAAACAACCCAGACCGCCAGCUAAGGUCCCAAAGUCAUGGUUAAGUGGGAAACGAUGUGGGAAGGCCCAGACAGCCAGGAUGUUGGCUUAGAAGCAGCCAUCAUUUAAAGAAAGCGUAAUAGCUCACUGGUCGAGUCGGCCUGCGCGGAAGAUGUAACGGGGCUAAACCAUGCACCGAAGCUGCGGCAGCGACACUGUGUGUUGUUGGGUAGGGGAGCGUUCUGUAAGCCUGCGAAGGUGGCCUGUGAGGGUUGCUGGAGGUAUCAGAAGUGCGAAUGCUGACAUAAGUAACGAUAAAGCGGGUGAAAAGCCCGCUCGCCGGAAGACCAAGGGUUCCUGUCCAACGUUAAUCGGGGCAGGGUGAGUCGACCCCUAAGGCGAGGCCGAAAGGCGUAGUCGAUGGGAAACGGGUUAAUAUUCCCGUACUUGGUGUUACUGCGAAGGGGGGACGGAGAAGGCUAUGUUGGCCGGGCGACGGUUGUCCCGGUUUAAGCGUGUAGGUGUGUGUUCCAGGUAAAUC
rnacentral:rRNA from 1 species